rnacentral:rRNA from 1 species
UACAGAGGGUGCAAGCGUUGUUCGGAAUUAUUGGGCGUAAAGAGCGUGUAGGCGGCCAGGUAGGUCUGCUGUGAAAACUCGAGGCUCAACCUCGAGACGUCGGCGGAAACCAUCUGGCUAGAGUCCGGAAGAGGAGAGUGGAAUUCCUGGUGUAGCGGUGAAAUGCGCAGAUAUCAGGAAGAACACCCGUGGCGAGGGCGGCUCUCUGGGACGGUACUGACGCUGAGACGCGAAAGCGUGGGGAGCGAACAGG